rnacentral:rRNA from 1 species
CCUACGGGAGGCAGCAGUGGGGAAUAUUGGACAAUGGGCGAAAGCCUGAUCCAGCCAUGCCGCGUGUGUGAAGAAGGCCUUCGGGUUGUAAAGCACUUUCAGUGGGGAAGAAAGCCUUGGGGCUAAUACCCUCGAGGAAGGACAUCACCCACAGAAGAAGCACCGGCUAACUCCGGUGCCAGCAGCCGCGGUAAUACGGAGGGUGCGAGCGUUAAUCGGAAUUACUGGGCGUAAAGCGCGCGUAGGCGGUCUGAUAAGCCGGUUGUGAAAGCCCCGGGCUCAACCUGGGAACGGCAUCCGGAACUGUCAGGCUAGAGUGCAGGAGAGGAAGGUAGAAUUCCCGGUGUAGCGGUGAAAUGCGUAGAGAUCGGGAGGAAUACCAGUGGCGAAGGCGGCCUUCUGGACUGACACUGACGCUGAGGUGCGAAAGCGUGGGUAGCAAACAGGAUUAGAUACCCCAGUAGUC